rnacentral:tRNA from 1 species
GCGGAUGUGGUGAAGUGGCUAACACAUCUGGCUGUGAACCAGACACUCGUGGGUUCGAUCCCCAUCAUCCGCCCCA